UAUCUCUGUAGAGUCUGCAUAUCAAUAAGCGGAGGAAAAGAAACUAACUAGGAUUCCCUCAGUAACGGCGAGUGAAGCGGGAAGAGCUCAAAUUUGAAAUCUUCAAGGUUUUACCUUGACGAAUUGUAGUUUAAAGAAGUGUUUUCUGUUGGAGUUUUGGUAAAAGUUCUUUGGAAUAGGACAUCAUAGAGGGUGAGAAUCCCGUAUUUGACCAUUAUUUCCAGCUUUGUGAUACACUUUCAAAGAGUCGGAUUGUUUGGGAAUGCAGUCCAAAAUGGGUGGUAAAUUUCAUCUAAAGCUAAAUAUUGGCGAGAGACCGAUAGCGAACAAGUACCGUGAGGGAAAGAUGAAAAGAACUUUGAAAAGAGAGUUAAACAGUACGUGAAAUUGUCAAAAGGGAAGCGUUUGACACCAGUGUUGUUUCUACGAAAAUCAAUUUAUGAUGGCUUGAUGCUAAGCUUUAAGACUUUAUCCGCUUGUUGUUUAGUUUUCUUGUCUUUGUGAAUGCACUUUUCGUGGAACAAGUCAACAUCAAUUUCUUUUGCUGUAAAAGGGUAAGAGGAAGGUGGCUUCGGCUUCGGUUGAAGUGUUUAUAGCCUUUUAUCUCUGCAGUCGGAGAGAUUGAGGUCUGCAGCGUAGAUCCUUCGGGGUUAGAUACAGUUGGUGCUAAGUUAUAGCCUUUCAUAGACAACUUGUUGACUAUGAUCAGUCAUGUAGCUUACUCGCUUAUGCUAUUUUACCUACGCUUAGGAUGUUGAGUCAUCACACAUCUCU
rnacentral:rRNA from 1 species